AUGCGAGUCGGACAUGGUCCGGGCCCACCACCCUGCUCUGUACUACUACUCGGCUUUCCCGUCAAGAUGCCUGAGGAAGUGCACCAUGGAGAGGAGGAGGUGGAGACCUUUGCCUUUCAGGCAGAAAUUGCCCAGCUCAUGUCCCUCAUCAUCAACACUUUCUAUUCCAACAAGGAGAUUUUCCUCCAAGAGUUAAUCUCUAAUGCUUCAGAUGCCCUGGACAAGAUUUGGUAUGAGAGCCUGACGGACCCCUCCAAGUUGGACAGUGGGAAAGAGCUGAAAAUUGACAUCAUCCCCAACCCUCAGGAGCGCACACUGACUUUGGUGGACACCGGCAUUGGCAUGACCAAGGCUGACCUCAUUAACAACUUGGGAACCAUUGCUAAGUCUGGCACGAAGGCGUUCAUGGAGGCUCUGCAGGCUGGUGCAGACAUCUCCAUGAUUGGGCAGUUUGGUGUUGGGUUCUACUCUGCUUAUCUAGUGGCAGAGAAAGUGGUUGUGAUAAUGAAGCACAACGAU